GAUGAAGAACGUAGCGAAAUGCGAUAAGUAAUGUGAAUUGCAGAAUUCAGUGAAUCAUCGAGUCUUUGAACGCACAUUGCGCCCCCUGGUAUUCCGGGGGGCAUGCCUGUCCGAGCGUCAUUGCUGCCCUCAAGCACGGCUUGUGUGUUGGGCCCCCGUCCCCGGUUUCCCCCCGGGACGGGCCCGAAAGGCAGCGGCGGCACCGCGUCCGGUCCUCGAGCGUAUGGGGCUUUGUCACCCGCUCUGUAGGCCCGGCCGGCGCCAGCCGACACCCAACUUUAUUUCUAAGGUUGACCUCGGAUCAGGUAGGGAUACCCGCUGAACUUAAGCAUAUCAAUAAGCGGAGGA
rnacentral:misc_RNA from 1 species